rnacentral:rRNA from 1 species
GACGAACGCUGGCGGCGUGCUUAACACAUGCAAGUCGAACGGUGAAGCGCUUGCCUUUUUGGUGGGUGUGGAUGAGUGGCGAACGGGUGAGUAACACGUGAGUAACCUGCCCUCUUCUUCUGGAUAACCUCAUGAAAGUGGGGCUAAUACGGGGUAUUCCGGGUCUGUCGCAUGGCGGGUUUGGGAAAGAUUGCGCCUUUGGGUGUUUUCGGUGUGGGAUGGGCUCGCGGCCUAUCAGCUUGUUGGUGGGGUGAUGGCCUACCAAGGCGGUGCCGGGUAGCCGGCCUGAGAGGGUGGCCGGCCACACUGGGACUGAGACACGGCCCAGACUCCUGCGGGAGGCAGCAGUGGGGAAGAUUGCACAAUGGGCGCAAGCCUGAUGCAGCGACGCCGCGUGAGGGAUGGAGGCCUUCGGGUUGUGAACCUCUUUCGCCAGUGAAGCAGGCCUGCUCCUGUGUGGGUGGGUUGACGGUAGCUGGAUAAGAAGCGCCGGCUAACUACGUG